UACGAAGGGGACUAGCGUUGUUCGGAAUCACUGGGCGUAAAGCGCACGUAGGCGGAUAUGUCAGUCAGGGGUGAAAUCCCGGGGCUCAACCUCGGAACUGCCUUUGAUACAGCAUGUCUUGAGUCCGAUAGAGGUGGGUGGAAUUCCUAGUGUAGAGGUGAGAUUCGUAGAUAUUAGGAAGAACACCGGUGGCGAAGGCGGCCCACUGGAUCGGUACUGACGCUGAGGUGCGAAAGCGUGGGGAGCAAACAGG
rnacentral:rRNA from 1 species